GCAAACUUGGUCAUUUAGAGGAAGUAAAAGUCGUAACAAGGUUUCCGUAGGUGAACCUGCGGAAGGAUCAUUACAAAAAAUCAAAAGUGCCCUCGGGUGCUUUGGCAGCGAGGGGGGAAACCCCCGAACUGUUAACCCUUUGUGAAAACCCUCCGUUGCCUCGGCGGCACUCCUGCCGCGCGGCCUUGCGCUGCGCGGGGGGAUGGUCAGUCCGCCGGCGGCACCCAACCAAAACCCAUAACCAUUUUGAAGAAGCUGUCUGAAACAAAAAGUCGAAUGACUAUAAAACUUUCAACAACGGAUCUCUUGGUUCCCGCAUCGAUGAAGAACGCAGC
rnacentral:misc_RNA from 1 species